GGGGUUGGGGUUGGUGGUCGCCGAUCCUUCCCCUCUGCCCAUUGAUCAGGUAGGCCGCUUUCUCUCCACCCUCGCAAGAUAAGUUCGUUUAGGUAGGGCUUUUCUUUGCGUUAGCAAUAAGCGAGUAAGACUGAGAUUUGGAAAGCGAAGCUUCUUGCAACGAGCUAAGAGGUAUGCUAGAGGCGAUCAAGAAAUCGUGUUGAAACUCUCAACGCUUGAAGACACCUCUUUUCGAUUGCAACGCAAAAGGGAGCCAGUGACACAACAAACAACUCAAACAAGCAAAGUGCAAAACAACGGGCCAAGGAACUCUCAACGCGAAGGGACACUCACCGAUGUGGACAACGCUGUUUGAAUACGAACAAAACUAACGAUCAACGAUACUUGGUUUCACAUUGCCAGGUUCGUGUGUGUUUCGAUUUGUUCUAAUUUCUUGUCAUGAAGAAGCCAAGUGACAUGCUGGUGCUGCUCAACGACAAUAAGAACUGAAAAACUCCCAUGUCACAGUGUGUGCCAAGAAGAGAAAUGCUACUAGAUUGGAGAGAUUUUGUGUCAACGUUUUGGAGCUUUGAGUUGUGUUGUUGCUGCGCUCAACGCAAGACCUGCGAGCUGAGAAACAACGUUGGGAAACUGCGAUCAUCAGAACUUAAAUCCAGCUGAAUUUCUACAUGACAAUGGUCCAACCUCAAUGAAAACAACGAUCAGCGACGGAUCAAGUCCACUCUCGCCCGCAAGGUAAGUUCGUUUUGAGUAAGACACAACGAAACAAGAGAGAUUUGCUGGAGACAAGAAAGCGAAGCUGCUUGCAACGAGCUAAGAGGUAUUCUCUAGGCUAGAGGCGAUUAAGAAUUCGUGUUGAAACUCUCAACGUUUGAAGACGCUCUUUCUUUUCGAUGCUAUGCUCAACGCACACAGUCCAAGUUAAUAUGAUAUGCUUGAUCAAACAACUCAAACAAGCUAAGUGCAAAACAACGGUCCAAGGAACUCUCAACGCGAAGGGAAACUUGUUGUCAGAACUAAAAAACGCUGUGUCCAAGAAGAAAAAUGCUACGAGAUUGGAGAGAUUCUAUGUCAACGUUUGUAGAGAUUGUCAGCGAUGUUGCUGCUGCUCAACCCAAGACCUGCGAGCUGAGAAACAACGUCGAGCUGAGAAACAACGUCGGGCAUCUGCAAUCUUCAAAACAUCAAUCCGUACAUGACAAUGGUCCAACCGCAACGAAAACAACGAUAAUGAAAACUCUGGCUGUCCAACGAUAUGGAAGUUUAACAGGUUCGUGAGCUAGCUGUUCUAACCAAAAUGUUUGUUGAAAAUGUACAUGACAAUGGUCUAACCUCAAUGAAAACAACGAUCAUGAUCCGUCGCAAGGUAAGUUUGUUCAGGGCUUUUCUUCGUGUUAGCAAUAAGCGAGUAAGACAACGAAACAAGAGAGAUUUGCUGGAGACAAGAAAUAUGUAGAGUGAUCAACGUUAAAAGAGAGGCUAGAAGCAAUCAAGAAUUUGUUGAAACUCUCAACGUUUGAAGACGUUCUUUCUUUUCGAUUGAGAUUGUCGACGGGGUAUGCUCAACGCAAAAGGGAGCCAGUGACACAGUCAAGCUAAGAUGAUAUGCUCAAACAACUUAAACAAGCUAAGCGCAAAACAACGGUCCAAGAAACUUUCAACGGGAAGGGAAACUUGUGAAUACGAACAAAACUAACGAUCAUUGAAAGUUGACAUACUUAGCUUCAUGUUGUCA